ACCCGCUGAACUUAAGCAUAUCAAUAAGCGGAGGAAAAGAAACUAACAAGGAUUCCCCUAGUAACGGCGAGUGAAGCGGGAUGAGCUCAAAUUUAAAAUCUGGCGGCCUCAGGUCGUCCGAGUUGUAGUCUAGAGAAUCGUUUUCCGCGUUGGCCUGUGUACAAGUCCCUUGGAACAGGGCGUCAUAGAGGGUGAGAAUCCCGUCCUUGACACAGACUACCAAUGCUUUGUGAUGCGAUCUCGAAGAGUCGAGUUGUUUGGGAAUGCAGCUCAAAAUGGGUGGUAAAUUCCAUCUAAAGCUAAAUAUUGGCGAGAGACCGAUAGCGAACAAGUACCGUGAGGGAAAGAUGAAAAGCACUUUGGAAAGAGAGUUAAACAGUACGUGAAAUUGUUAAAAGGGAAACGAUUGAAGUCAGUCAUGCUUUCCGAGACUCAGCCGAUUCUGUCGGUGUACUUCUCGGUUGGCAGGCCAGCAUCAGUUUCGAUCUGUGGAAAAGGUUGGAGGGAACGUGGCAUCCUCGGAUGUGUUAUAGCCCUUCUUCGAAUACAUAGAGCGGGACUGAGGAACGCAGCGCGCCUUUUAUUAGGUUGGCCCUCGGGUACAUACGCCGCUUAGGA
rnacentral:rRNA from 1 species